UUUUCCUUUCUCUUACUAUACCCAAAAAUCUUCUUAACAUCCUUCUAAAGUUCUAAACCUCGGAGAUCUAGGCGAAGUUCUGUCCAUAACGCUAGCCUACGAAAACCUUUUAGGAAGCUAACAAUUUCGAUUGUUUUAUCAAGACGCAAGGUAAGAGACCCCAAAUAUAAACUGUUGAUGAGUAUACGUGGGGCCAACAUGACUGUACAUAUGGGGCUGACCUGAAGGGAGUGGAGUUCUGCUAUGCUAUUUUAUAAAUAAACAAGAAACUUGGUUUUAUUAUAUUUCAUUAAAAGUAUUUUGUGAACUUUAUCAUUUACUUAAAGCUUUAAAAAGUAUUUCAUGAACUUUGUAAUUUACAUAAAGCUUUUCAAUUUAUCAGUUGGAUACAUUUUCAUUUCUACGUUAAGGUGUAGUAACGCCACGAAAAUGAUUUAUAAAAGUAUUAAGAUUUGUAUGUAAGAUAAAGUUUUUAUCUAGUUGUGAGUAUUGUGUGGUUAAGGUUAUAAACAUUAUUUAUGUAUUGUUUAAUAAAGUUUUUGUAAAUUCAGAAUUUCAGUAUUGUCAUAUUUAGGUUAAAAUUUGUUUUUACUCUAUAUAUAUGUAUGUUAAGAAAGGAGGUCGUUACAACAACACUAUAAGUACUAACCCACAUUAAUUAUUUAAAUUAUUUGUUUUCUUCUACUAAUUGGUAUCUAACACCCAAUAUCUUUGUUCAUUUUUCUACUAUUUUGUAUUGAACUAUUUUUUUUUUACUAUUUCUACUAAUUGGUAUUGAACACAUAGUAUCUUUGUUCAUUUUUCUACCAUUUUGUAUUGAAAUAUUUUUUAGCAUUUGA